AUUGAACGCUAAAAAGGCGGUAGGCCUAACACAUGCAAGUCGAACGCGAAAAGUCCUUCGGGAUGAGUAGAGUGGCGGACGGGUGAGUAACGCGUAGGAAUCUAUCCUGUAGUGGGGGAUAACGUUUCGAAAGGAACGCUAAUACCGCAUACGCCCCAAGGGGGAAAGCGGGGGAUCGCAAGACCUCGCGCGAAUGGAGCGGCCGAUGUCAGAUUAGGUAGUUGGUGGGGUAAAGGCUCACCAAGCCAACGAUCUGUAGCUGGUCUGAGAGGACGACCAGCCACACUGGAACUGAGACACGGUCCAGACUCCUACGGGAGGCAGCAGUGGGGAAUUUUGGACAAUGGGCGCAAGCCUGAUCCAGCCAUUCCGCGUGAAGGAAGAAGGCCCUCGGGUUGUAAACUUCUUUGACAGGGGACGAAUAAAUGACUGUACCCUGAAAACAAGCCACGGCUAACUACGUGCCAGCAGCCGCGGUAAGCAUACUCGUA
rnacentral:rRNA from 1 species